rnacentral:rRNA from 1 species
UACGUAUGGUGCAAGCGUUAUCCGGAUUUACUGGGUGUAAAGGGAGCGUAGGCGGCGCGUUAAGUCUGAUGUGAAACCCGAGGCUCAACCACGGGAGUGCAUUGGAAACUGGCGGGCUGGAGUGCCGGAGAGGUAAGCGGAAUUCCUAGUGUAGCGGUGAAAUGCGUAGAUAUUAGGAGGAACACCAGUGGCGAAGGCGGCUUACUGGACGGCAACUGACGCUGAGGCUCGAAAGCGUGGGUAGCAAACAGG